rnacentral:lncRNA from 1 species
GAUGGUCACUAGUGGUGAAACCCUGAAUUGCCCAUAAGCAUCUGGCCCGUGUGGAGGGCAACAAUUUCUUCCAGAUCAGUGGAUAAAAUGCUUGUUUCAGACUUUUGUCUAUAACUUGACUAUGUUUUCAAAUUUAGACUGCUUUUCUUCAAAAAUCUUAUGAGACAAGCUGGUCUGCUGAGGAAAAACAAAGCGAACAAGAGUCUUUGCUCUUUGCCUCCUUGACAUAAUGACGGUGCCAUGGCAGUUUCUGGUUUACUUCAGAAGUGUUCGUAGUUACAGGACCCUGGAAAUUAUUCUUUCUUGCCCUACAUUCCAGCCUGGAUGGACUCAGAAGUUAAGAACCACACCGUAAAGAUCUAUUUCACCAGCAUCUCACCGUAAAGAUCUAUUUCACCAGCAUCUCUGUCCCCUCAUUACAGUAAGCUCUCUUCUGUCAUCUUCCUGUCUCAGAGCUCUGCUUGGAGACCAGUUGAUGAGAUCCAUACCUCUGUACCAAGCUGUGUGACAAAAGCUGUGGGUCAAGUACUGCCCAAGGAAAUUUUACAGGACAACACAGAAGACAAAGCACCAGUGAGGUUACAAAUGUCAGAAUACCUGGUUUGUUUUGGUUUGAAGAAUUUAAGGUGGGAAUCUGGAAGAAUAUUCAAGUAUUUUACUCUUGCAGGUGAAUUUCCCCCAUGUUCUUUGAGAUUCUCAUGAAUUAGGAACUGUGUGCAUCUGCACUGGACAAUUCUCAAUGUGCACACUAGGAUG